rnacentral:rRNA from 1 species
UACGUAGGUGGCAAGCGUUGUCCGGAAUUAUUGGGCGUAAAGCGCGCGCAGGCGGUCCUUUAAGUCUGAUGUGAAAGCCCACGGCUCAACCGUGGAGGGUCAUUGGAAACUGGGGGACUUGAGUGCAGAAGAGGAAAGCGGAAUUCCACGUGUAGCGGUGAAAUGCGUAGAGAUGUGGAGGAACACCCGUGGCGAAGGCGGCUCUCUGGGACGGUACUGACGCUGAGACGCGAAAGCGUGGGGAGCGAACAGG